rnacentral:rRNA from 1 species
AGUGAACGCUGGCGGUAGGCCUAACACAUGCAAGUCGAACGGCAGCACAGAGGAGCUUGCUCCUUGGGUGGCGAGUGGCGGACGGGUGAGGAAUACAUCGGAAUCUACUCUGUCGUGGGGGAUAACGUAGGGAAACUUACGCUAAUACCGCAUACGACCUACGGGUGAAAGCAGGGGAUCUUCGGACCUUGCGCGAUUGAAUGAGCCGAUGUCGGAUUAGCUAGUUGGCGGGGUAAAGGCCCACCAAGGCGACGAUCCGUAGCUGGUCUGAGAGGAUGAUCAGCCACACUGGAACUGAGACACGGUCCAGACUCCUACGGGAGGCAGCAGUGGGGAAUAUUGGACAAUGGGCGCAAGCCUGAUCCAGCCAUACCGCGUGGGUGAAGAAGGCCUUCGGGUUGUAAAGCCCUUUUGUUGGGAAAGAAAUCCAUCUGGUUAAUACCCGGGUGGGAUGACGGUACCCAAAGAAUAAGCACCGGCUAACUUCGUGCCAGCAGCCGCCGCGG